rnacentral:misc_RNA from 1 species
CCGACACGGCACAUGCACCAUUAUACCAAAGCGGUCGUCAAACAGCAAAAGGUAACUGCUGUAAAUUGUUGAGAAAUUCCCUCGAGUGUUUAUGGGCUCCAUCAUCAAACCUGGUCCUGCGACACAGAUGAUCACACAGCAGGUAAUUGCUAUAAAUCGUUGAAAAGUUCCCUCGACUAUCUUUCGUAACCCUCAUCAGACUGAAAUGGCACUUAUAACACAUAUAUAUGCAAAGUUCUCAUCAAUAGAAACGGAUUAAGUUCAAACAGCAGGUAAUUGCUAUAAAUCGUUAAAGAGUUCCCUCGACUAACUUUUGUCUCCAUCAUCAGACUGUAAUGGCACUUAUAACUCAUACAGGUGCAAAGUUCUCAUCUAUAGAAACGAAUUAAGUUCAAAAAGCAGGUAAUUGCUAUAAAUUCUUAAAGAGUUCCCUCGACUAUCUUUCGUCUCCAUCAUCAGACUUUAAUGGCACUUGUAACUCAUAUAGGUGCAAAAUUCUCAUCAAUAGAAACGAAUUAAGUUCAAACAGCAGGUAAUUGCUAUAAGUCGUUGAAGAGUACCCCCGAAUAUCUUUCGUCUCCAUCAUUAGACUGAAAUGGCACUUAUAACUCAUAUAUAUGCAAAGUUCUCAUCAAUAGAAACGAAUUAAGUUCAAAAAGCAGGUAAUUGCUAUAAAUCGUUAAAGAGUUCCCUCGACUAACUUUUGUCUCCAUCAUCAGACUGUAAUGGCACUUAUAACUCAUACAGGUGCAAAGUUCUCAUCAAUAGAAACGAAUUAAGUUCAAAAAGCAGGUAAUUGCUAUAAAUUGUUGAAGAGUUCCCUCGACUAUCUCUCUUCUCCAUCAUCAGAUCGACUCCAGACCUUUAUUAAAUAGUAGUGCUUUAUAGUACCUAAUGAAAACAUGAUUAAAUUUACUAGUCAUCCUUACGAUUUUUGAAAGUUUCCCUCGAUUUCUCUGGGAUCCCAUCAUCAGAUCCUGGUUUCCUUAUCAUGGUACCAAACUAUGAAUAUCUCCUUUCCAACAAAAAAAGAAUUAUCAAAAUCGGUUCAUAAACGAA